CCUACGGGUGGCAGCAGUGGGGAAUAUUGGACAAUGGGCGAAAGCCUGAUCCAGCCAUACCGCGUGUGUGAAGAAGGCCUUCGGGUCGUAAAGCACUUUCAGUGGGGAAGAAAGCCUUGGGGCUAAUACCCUCGAGGAAGGACAUCACCCACAGAAGAAGCACCGGCUAACUCCGUGCCAGCAGCCGCGGUAAUACGGAGGGUGCGAGCGUUAAUCGGAAUUACUGGGCGUAAAGCGCGCGUAGGCGGUCUGAUAAGCCGGUUGUGAAAGCCCCGGGCUCAACCUGGGAACGGCAUCCGGAACUGUCAGGCUAGAGUGCAGGAGAGGAAGGUAGAAUUCCCGGUGUAGCGGUGAAAUGCGUAGAGAUCGGGAGGAAUACCAGUGGCGAAGGCGGCCUUCUGGACUGACACUGACGCUGAGGUGCGAAAGCGUGGGUAGCAAACAGGAUUAGAUACCCGAGUAGUC
rnacentral:rRNA from 1 species